rnacentral:rRNA from 1 species
GAUGAACGCUGGCGGCGUGCCUAAUACAUGCAAGUCGAGCGAACAGACGAGGAGCUUGCUCCUCUGACGUUAGCGGCGGACGGGUGAGUAACACGUGGAUAACCUACCUAUAAGACUGGGAUAACUUCGGGAAACCGGAGCUACUACCGGAUAAUAUAUUGAACCGCGUGGUUCAAUAGUGAAAGCCGGUUUUGCUGUCACUUAUAGAUGGAUUCGCGCCGCAUUAGCUAGUUGGUAAGGUAACAGCUUACCAAGGCAACGAUGCGUAGCCGACCUGAGGGGGUGAUCGGCCACACUGGAACUGAGACACGGUCCAGACUCCUACGGGAGGCAGCAGUAGGGAAUCUUCCGCAAUGGGCGAAAGCCUGACGGAGCAACGCCGCGUGAGUGAUGAAGGUCUUCGGAUCGUAAAACUCUGUUAUUAGGGAAGAACAAAUGUGUAAGUAACUAUGCACGUCUUGACGGUACCUAAUCAGAAAGCCACGGCUAACUACGUG